UGAAGGUUAUGGUGAGGCAUAUCAGCUCAAUUGAAUGUGUUUUGAAGUCAUCUUGACACAAAGGCAAGUUCUUAGAGUCAUGAGAGGUCAAGAAAACGAAAAAAGAGCAAGUGAAAGUAUCAUGACAUGACUCGGGGACCCAAAGGAACAAAGGAGAUGAAGAAAUAUGCAUUUUAAAGUGAAGAACAUGGGUCACGUUGGUGGUCACGUCUUUCACUUUUCUUAUAUCU